rnacentral:misc_RNA from 1 species
UUUUUCUUUUUUAAAGAAACUCAGAAUUCGAAAAAAAAUUAGAGUAAAAAUGCCUCUGGCAGGUUGCCCGAAGGCUACUUUCCCUCCCUGGGAAAACCUGCCGAAGCAACACUAGGUAAAAGUUCACAAAGGGUUGAGAGUGGUAACUCAGUAAUGAUCCCUCCGCUGGUUCACCAACGGAGA